rnacentral:tRNA from 1 species
UGCCCGAUGGUGUAACGGUAGCACAGCAGACUCUGGAUCUGUAUGUCUAGGUUCAAAUCCUAGUCGGGCAGCCA